rnacentral:siRNA from 1 species
AAAUCAUGUUUUUCCCGCCCAAAC